CCUACGGGUGGCAGCAGUGGGGAAUAUUGCACAAUGGGCGAAAGCCUGAUGCAGCAACGCCGCGUGAGCGAUGAAGGCCCUCGGGUUGUAAAGCUCCUUCCUCAAGGAAGAUAAUGACGGUACGUGAGGAUGAAGCCCCGGCUAACUACGUGCCAGCAGCCGCGGUAAUACGUAGGCGGCUAGCGUUAUCCGGAUUUACUGGGCGUAAAGGGUGCGUAGGUGGUUUCUUAAGUCAGAGGUGAAAGUCUACGGCUCAACCGUAGCAAGCCUUUGAAACUGGGUAACUUGAGUGCACGAGAGGAGAGUGGAAUUCCUAGUGUAGCGGUGAAAUGCGUAGAUAUUAGGAGGAACACCAGUUGCGAAGGCAGCUCUCUGG
rnacentral:rRNA from 1 species